CGCGAUACAGGGUGACAGCCCCGUACACAAAAAUGCACAUACUGUGAGCUCGAUGAGUAGGGCGGGACACGUGGUAUCCUGUCUGAAUAUGGGGGGACCAUCCUCCAAGGCUAAAUACUCCUGACUGACCGAUAGUGAACCAGUACCGUGAGGGAAAGGCGAAAAGAACCCCGGCGAGGGGAGUGAAAAAGAACCUGAAACCGUGUACGUACAAGCAGUGGGAGCCUCUUUAUGGGGUGACUGCGUACCUUUUGUAUAAUGGGUCAGCGACUUAUAUUCUGUAGCAAGGUUAACCGAAUAGGGGAGCCGAAGGGAAACCGAGUCUUAACUGGGCGUUAAGUUGCAGGGUAUAGACCCGAAACCCGGUGAUCUAGCCAUGGGCAGGUUGAAGGUUGGGUAACACUAACUGGAGGACCGAACCGACUAAUGUUGAAAAAUUAGCGGAUGACUUGUGGCUGGGGGUGAAAGGCCAAUCAAACCGGGAGAUAGCUGGUUCUCCCCGAAAGCUAUUUAGGUAGCGCCUCGUGAAUUCAUCUCCGGGGGUAGAGCACUGUUUCGGCAAGGGGGUCAUCCCGACUUACCAACCCGAUGCAAACUGCGAAUACCGGAGAAUGUUAUCACGGGAGACACACGGCGGGUGCUAACGUCCGUCGUGAAGAGGGAAACAACCCAGACCGCCAGCUAAGGUCCCAAAGUCAUGGUUAAGUGGGAAACGAUGUGGGAAGGCCCAGACAGCCAGGAUGUUGGCUUAGAAGCAGCCAUCAUUUAAAGAAAGCGUAAUAGCUCACUGGUCGAGUCGGCCUGCGCGGAAGAUGUAACGGGGCUAAACCAUGCACCGAAGCUGCGGCAGCGACGCUUAUGCGUUGUUGGGUAGGGGAGCGUUCUGUAAGCCUGCGAAGGUGUACUGUGAGGUAUGCUGGAGGUAUCAGAAGUGCGAAUGCUGACAUAAGUAACGAUAAAGCGGGUGAAAAGCCCGCUCGCCGGAAGACCAAGGGUUCCUGUCCAACGUUAAUCGGGGCAGGGUGAGUCGACCCCUAAGGCGAGGCCGAAAGGCGUAGUCGAUGGGAAACAGGUUAAUAUUCCUGUACUUGGUGUUACUGCGAAGGGGGGACGGAGAAGGCUAUGUUGGCCGGGCGACGGUUGUCCCGGUUUAAGCGUGUAGGCUGGUUUUCCAGGCAAAUCCGGAAAAUCAAGGCUGAGGCGUGAUGACGAGGCACUACGGUGCUGAAGCGACAAAUGCCCUGCUUCCAGGAAAAGCCUCUAAGCAUCAGGUAACAUC
rnacentral:rRNA from 1 species